UGCCCCCUGAGUAUUAACAGUACGUCUGCCUUCCAAGCAGAAAGAUUAGGCAGUUGCCUAAAGGCGGCAA
rnacentral:tRNA from 1 species